rnacentral:misc_RNA from 1 species
UCGCGGCUUAUCACCGGCAGUCCCCUUAGAGUGUCCAACUGAAUGAUGGCAACUAAGGGAGAGGGUUGCGCUCGUUGCGGGACUUAACCCAACAUCUCACGACACGAGCUGACGACAGCCAUGCAGCACCUGUCUCCGCGCCCCUUGCGGGGACUGUCCAUCUCUGGACAUAGCACGGGAUGUCAAACCCUGGUAAGGUUCUUCGCGUUGCGUCGAAUUGAACCACAUGCUCCACCGCUUGUGCGGGCCCCCGUCAAUUCGUUUGAGUUUCAGCCUUGCGACCGUACUCCCCAGGCGGGGCACUUACUGCGUUAGCGCCGGCACCGACGGGAUUAAUACCGCCGACACCUAGUGCCCAUCGUUUACGGCGUGGACUAC